rnacentral:rRNA from 1 species
UAUCAUAAGAAUUUAAUUUUGGUUCCGAUUGAACGUUGUUCAGUAGUUUAAGACAUGCAAAUCAUUAUUACCGAAAAAUUUUUUAAAGGUAAAAAGGUGUAAAGGUGAGGAUAGUAAAUAAGUUACUUUAUAAUUUCCAUAAAUAGGAAAUAAAUAUAAUUAAAAAUUAAAUUUAUAUAAAGGAAUUAUUCUGUUAUAAAAUACUAUUUACUUUGAUUAGGUAGUUGGUAGGGUAAAUGCCUACCAAGCCGACGAUCAAUAGCUAUGUUUGAGAGAACAGAUGGCCACAUUGGGAAUGAAAUCUCCCAAGUAGUAUUAUACUACCAGCAGUCAAGAAUAUUAGUCAAUGCUCGAAAGAGUGAACUAGCUAACUGAAAUCAAUAAUAAUAAUUGAUAACAUAAGGGAAAAUAAUGAUAUUACCUUAUUAUAAGUGUCGUCCAAAUCUGGUGCCAGAAGACUCGGUAAGGCCAGAGACACAAACGUUAAUCGUCUUAAUCAGGCGUAAAGGGUUUGUAGGCGGCUUUAAAAUUUACUUAUAAAAAAAAAAAAAUAAAUAAUAAGUAAAAAAUAAAAGCUAGAAUCAAAUAGAGGAUAUAUGAAAGAAUGUUUAGAGUAGGUCUGAUAUCCUUAGAUACUAAGUAGAAUAUUAAAGGCGAAAGCUUUUUUCCAUUAAUGAUUGACGCUCAGAAACGAAGGUGAGGAUAGGAAAUAGGAUUAGAUACCCAGAAUACCCCUCUCUGUCAACGAUGAAUGGUAGUUAUUAGUAAAAAAUAUUAAUGGCAAUGUUAACACGAUAACCAUUCCGCCUUGUGAGUAUAACUGCAAAGUCGAAAACAAAAAAAUUAGUCGGUUUCGGAGCAAACGAAGUGAAGCAUGUUAUUUAAUACGAUAAUCCGCGUAAAACCUUACCAGUUCUUGAAUAAAAACUUAUAUAUAUUUUUAAUAUAUAAAGGAAUGUUUUAAAUUAAAUUAAAAAUCAUAAAAAUUUUGUUUUUUUUUUUAAUAGUAAAUUAAAACAUUUAAUACAGGUGUUGCAUGGCUGUCUUCAGUCCGUAUCGUGAGAACUGAGGUUAAUUCCAUUAACGGACGAAAUCCCUAUUGUUAAUUAAAAAUAUUAUUAUUUAUAUUUUAUUACAUACUUAACAAUUUAUGAUUCUUAUAAAGUAUCAUUUGGGGCUAAGACAAGUCUUUAUGGCCCUAAUGAACUGGGCUAUAGACGUGCCACAAAAACUUUUACAAAGUGAUGCAAAACUUUUUCUUAAAAUGAAUUAUAUAUUUAUUUUAUUAUUAAAAAUUAUAUUAUGUUUAAUGUAAAAUAAAUUAUCGAAAGAUUAAAUAAUGCAUUUAUUUUUAAUUUUAUAAAAAUAAAAAAUUAAAUUUGGAAAGUAGGAAAAGCUAAUCAUAAAAAAAAGUUAAAAUAUAAAUUUAGACGGAUUGUUCUCUGCAAUUCGGGAACAUGAAGAAGGAAUUUCGAGUAAUCGUUGAUAAUAAGCGCAACGGUGAAAUUAGCAUCCGUGAUGAACUAACUGUCUGUCGCUGGGAAGAAGCUUAUAUUGAUGGAAAUAAAAAUGUUAUUAUAACUUUUCAUAGUUAAUAUUAAAUUUAUAUUUUUUAAAUUUAAAUAGUUAUUUUUUAAUAAUAUAACGGCUAUAUAAAACUAAUUAGUUUUUAUUAAUUCAAUUAAGUAACAUCUCAAAAGUCAUAGCAAGGUAGCCGUACUGGAAAGUGCUGCUGGAAAAUACAUAAA